rnacentral:rRNA from 1 species
GGUUAAGCGACUAAGCGUACACGGUGGAUGCCCUGGCAGUCAGAGGCGAUGAAGGACGUGCUAAUCUGCGAUAAGCGUCGGUAAGGUGAUAUGAACCGUUAUAACCGGCGAUUUCCGAAUGGGGAAACCCAGUGUGAUUCGUCACACUAUCAUUAACUGAAUCCAUAGGUUAAUGAGGCGAACCGGGGGAACUGAAACAUCUAAGUACCCCGAGGAAAAGAAAUCAACCGAGAUUCCCCCAGUAGCGGCGAGCGAACGGGGAGCAGCCCAGAGCCUGAAUCAGUGUGUGUGUUAGUGGAAGCGUCUGGAAAGGCGUGCGAUACAGGGUGACAGCCCCGUACACAAAAAUGCACAUAUUGUGAGCUCGAUGAGUAGGGCGGGACACGUGGUAUCCUGUCUGAAUAUGGGGGGACCAUCCUCCAAGGCUAAAUACUCCUGACUGACCGAUAGUGAACCAGUACCGUGAGGGAAAGGCGAAAAGAACCCCGGCGAGGGGAGUGAAAAAGAACCUGAAACCGUGUACGUACAAGCAGUGGGAGCACAGAGCAAUCUGUGUGACUGCGUACCUUUUGUAUAAUGGGUCAGCGACUUAUAUUCUGUAGCAAGGUUAACCGAAUAGGGGAGCCGAAGGGAAACCGAGUCUUAACUGGGCGUUAAGUUGCAGGGUAUAGACCCGAAACCCGGUGAUCUAGCCAUGGGCAGGUUGAAGGUUGGGUAACACUAACUGGAGGACCGAACCGACUAAUGUUGAAAAAUUAGCGGAUGACUUGUGGCUGGGGGUGAAAGGCCAAUCAAACCGGGAGAUAGCUGGUUCUCCCCGAAAGCUAUUUAGGUAGCGCCUCGUGAAUUCAUCUCCGGGGGUAGAGCACUGUUUCGGCAAGGGGGUCAUCCCGACUUACCAACCCGAUGCAAACUGCGAAUACCGGAGAAUGUUAUCACGGGAGACACACGGCGGGUGCUAACGUCCGUCGUGAAGAGGGAAACAACCCAGACCGCCAGCUAAGGUCCCAAAGUCAUGGUUAAGUGGGAAACGAUGUGGGAAGGCCCAGACAGCCAGGAUGUUGGCUUAGAAGCAGCCAUCAUUUAAAGAAAGCGUAAUAGCUCACUGGUCGAGUCGGCCUGCGCGGAAGAUGUAACGGGGCUAAACCAUGCACCGAAGCUGCGGCAGCGACGCUUAUGCGUUGUUGGGUAGGGGAGCGUUCUGUAAGCCUGCGAAGGUGUGCUGUGAGGCAUGCUGGAGGUAUCAGAAGUGCGAAUGCUGACAUAAGUAACGAUAAAGCGGGUGAAAAGCCCGCUCGCCGGAAGACCAAGGGUUCCUGUCCAACGUUAAUCGGGGCAGGGUGAGUCGACCCCUAAGGCGAGGCCGAAAGGCGUAGUCGAUGGGAAACAGGUUAAUAUUCCUGUACUUGGUGUUACUGCGAAGGGGGGACGGAGAAGGCUAUGUUGGCCGGGCGACGGUUGUCCCGGUUUAAGCGUGUAGGCUGGUUUUCCAGGCAAAUCCGGAAAACUAAGGCUGAGGCGUGAUGACGAGGCACUACGGUGCUGAAGCAACAAAUGCCCUGCUUCCAGGAAAAGCCUCUAAGCAUCAGGUAACAUCAAAUCGUACCCCAAACCGACACAGGUGGUCAGGUAGAGAAUACCAAGGCGCUUGAGAGAACUCGGGUGAAGGAACUAGGCAAAAUGGUGCCGUAACUUCGGGAGAAGGCACGCUGAUAUGUAGGUGAAGUCCCUCGCGGAUGGAGCUGAAAUCAGUCGAAGAUACCAGCUGGCUGCAACUGUUUAUUAAAAACACAGCACUGUGCAAACACGAAAGUGGACGUAUACGGUGUGACGCCUGCCCGGUGCCGGAAGGUUAAUUGAUGGGGUUAGCGCAAGCGAAGCUCUUGAUCGAAGCCCCGGUAAACGGCGGCCGUAACUAUAACGGUCCUAAGGUAGCGAAAUUCCUUGUCGGGUAAGUUCCGACCUGCACGAAUGGCGUAAUGAUGGCCAGGCUGUCUCCACCCGAGACUCAGUGAAAUUGAACUCGCUGUGAAGAUGCAGUGUACCCGCGGCAAGACGGAAAGACCCCGUGAACCUUUACUAUAGCUUGACACUGAACAUUGAGCCUUGAUGUGUAGGAUAGGUGGGAGGCUUUGAAGUGUGGACGCCAGUCUGCAUGGAGCCGACCUUGAAAUACCACCCUUUAAUGUUUGAUGUUCUAACGUUGACCCGUGAUCCGGGUUGCGGACAGUGUCUGGUGGGUAGUUUGACUGGGGCGGUCUCCUCCUAAAGAGUAACGGAGGAGCACGAAGGUUGGCUAAUCCUGGUCGGACAUCAGGAGGUUAGUGCAAUGGCAUAAGCCAGCUUGACUGCGAGCGUGACGGCGCGAGCAGGUGCGAAAGCAGGUCAUAGUGAUCCGGUGGUUCUGAAUGGAAGGGCCAUCGCUCAACGGAUAAAAGGUACUCCGGGGAUAACAGGCUGAUACCGCCCAAGAGUUCAUAUCGACGGCGGUGUUUGGCACCUCGAUGUCGGCUCAUCACAUCCUGGGGCUGAAGUAGGUCCCAAGGGUAUGGCUGUUCGCCAUUUAAAGUGGUACGCGAGCUGGGUUUAGAACGUCGUGAGACAGUUCGGUCCCUAUCUGCCGUGGGCGCUGGAGAACUGAGGGGGGCUGCUCCUAGUACGAGAGGACCGGAGUGGACGCAUCACUGGUGUUCGGGUUGUCAUGCCAAUGGCACUGCCCGGUAGCUAAAUGCGGAAGAGAUAAGUGCUGAAAGCAUCUAAGCACGAAACUUGCCCCGAGAUGAGUUCUCCCUGACUCCUUGAGAGUCCUGAAGGAACGUUGAAGACGACGACGUUGAUAGGCCGGGUGUGUAAGCGCAGCGAUGCGUUGAGCUAACCGGUACUAAUGAACCGUGAGGCUUAACCUU